rnacentral:rRNA from 1 species
UACGGAGGGUGCGAGCGUUAAUCGGAAUUACUGGGCGUAAAGCGCAUGCAGGUGGAUGACUAAGUCAGAUGUGAAAGCCCCGGGCUCAACCUGGGAACUGCAUUUGAAACUGGUCGUCUAGAGUACUGUAGAGGGGGGUAGAAUUUCAGGUGUAGCGGUGAAAUGCGUAGAGAUCUGAAGGAAUACCAGUGGCGAAGGCGGCCCCCUGGACAGAUACUGACACUCAGAUGCGAAAGCGUGGGGAGCAAACAGG